CCAGCCCGGGCUGAGUUUCAGCCCGGGCUGAAAUUUCAGCCCGGUUUUAGCUGCCCGGGCUGAAAUUUCAGCCCGGGCUGAAACUCAGCCCGGCAUG
rnacentral:miRNA from 1 species